rnacentral:rRNA from 1 species
CAAUAGCAUAUAUUAACGUUGUUGCAGUUGAAAAGCUCGUAGUUGAACUUUUGGUAGGGGCGACCUGGCCUUGGGCGCAUGCCCUUGUUUGCCGUGUGUCGUGUCUGGCCAUCCUUUUCCGCUUCGGCGGGAAUCUUUUACUGUGAGUAAACUGGAGUGCUCAAAACAAGACGUUUGUUUGGUACAUUAAAGCAUGGAAUAAUAAGAUAGGACCUGGUUACUAUUUUGUUGGUUUGCAUAGCUAGGUAAUGAUUAACAGGGACAGUUGGGGGUAUUCGUAUUUAAUUGUCAGAGGUGAAAUUCUUGGAUUUAUGAAAGACGAACGACUGCGAAAGCAUUUACCAAGGAUGUUUUCAUUAA